GACGAACGCUGGCGGCGUGCUUAACACAUGCAAGUCGAGCGGUAAGGCCCUUUCGGGGGUACGACGAGCGGCGAACGGGUGAGUAACACGUGGGUGACCUGCCCUCAGCUCUGGGAUAAGCCCGGGAAACUGGGUCUAAUACCGGAUAUGACUCCAUGACGCAUGUUGUGGGGUGGAAAGCCUUGUGCGGCUGAGGAUGGGCCCGCGGCCUAUCAGCUUGUUGGUGGGGUGAGGCCCUACCAAGGCGACGACGGGUAGCCGGCCUGAGAGGGCGACCGGCCACACUGGGACUGAGAUACGGCCCAGACUCCUACGGGAGGCAGCAGUGGGGAAUCUUGCGCAAUGGGCGAAAGCCUGACGCAGCGACGCCGCGUGAGGGAU
rnacentral:rRNA from 1 species